rnacentral:rRNA from 1 species
CUCCGGGUGAUCCCGCCGGACCCGACUGCUAUCAGAGUGGGACUAAGCCAUGCGAGUCGACGUAGCAAUGCGUGGCGAACGGCUCAGUAACACGUAGUCAACAUGCCCAGGGGACGUGGAUAACCUCGGGAAACUGAGAAUAAACCACGAUAGGUCACGAUUUCUGGAAUGGAUCAUGGCCUAAAUCUACAUGGCCCCUGGAUUGGACUGCGGCCGAUCAGGCUGUUGGUGAGGUAAUGGCCCACCAAACCUAUAACCGGUACGGGCUCUGAGAGGAGAAGCCCGGAGAUGGGCACUGAGACAAGGGCCCAGGCCCUAUGGGGCGCAGCAGGCGCGAAACCUCUGCAAUAGGCGAAAGCCUGACAGGGUUACUCUGAGUGAUUUCCGCUAAGGGGAUCUUUUGGCACCUCUAAAAAUGGUGCAGAAUAAGGGGUGGGCAAGUCUGGUGUCAGCCGCCGCGGUAAUACCAGCACCCCGAGUGGUCGGGACGAUUAUUGGGCCUAAAGCAUCCGUAGCCGGUUCUGCAAGUCUUCCGUUAAAUCCAGCCGCUCAACGGAUGGGCCGCGGAGGAUACUACAGGACUAGGAGGCGGGAGAGGCAAGCGGUACUCAGUGGGUAGGGGUAAAAUCCUUUGAUCCAUUGAAGACCACCAGUGGCGAAGGCGGCUUGCCAGAACGCGCUCGACGGUGAGGGAUGAAAGCUGGGGGAGCAAACCGGAUUAGAUACCCGGGUAGUCCCAGCUGUAAACGAUGCAGACUCGGUGAUGGGCUAGCCUUGUGCCAGCCCAGUGCCGCAGGGAAGCCGUUAAGUCUGCCGCCUGGGGAGUACGGUCGCAAGACUGAAACUUAAAGGAAUUGGCGGGGGAGCA